rnacentral:lncRNA from 1 species
AGGAAAAGCACCAUUAAAUGGCCAAGAGCGACAAGAUGAGGAAUUUAAUAGUACACAGGAAAGCAAUAUCUUAGUAAAGAAAGAAAGGAACAACCCGAGAUAAGGAAAUGAUGGCUCUUGCCACUAAAUCUAUCCGAUUGUAAGAACAUUUGUCUGUAAAUGUUUGACAAGAGCUCGUUUGGCCAGACCUUGAGGAUCCUCAGACCUUCUUCAGCAAGGUUUCCUGAAGAAGGAAGAAAUAUGUAACAGGAAUUGCGAGAAAUGAAUCACUAUUUUUGAAACCAGGAUUCGAAACGUGCUGCAAGGCCUGAUGCUCACAGAGAGAUAUUUAGGUUCUGCGGAGGAAACAACAAGAGCCCUGCAACCAUCUCAAAUCAGAGAUCUGCUUGGGAAUGUGCGUAGGCCAGCUAUGUGCAACGGCUGCAAACCCACCUACCUAUGGAGCACCCUGCACUGCUGGAUGCUUGUUUACACCGACUUCUACAGAUUGGUUCAGCGCUUCAUUCCUGGAAGGGCUGCAUAGCUUUGUGUUGUGUUUGCCUUUGCAGUACAUUACAUAACAAAAAUACGGGCUGACAAGGAGGUGAAGGCACCCACCCAAGGCUCUGCAUCUCUGCGCUGGGGGGAGGCACGUACCAACAUGCACAGACUUGUUUCAAUACAAGAUUUAAUAUGGUGUACUGUGAUCAGAAAAGGAAAGAAAUAUAUUUUUAAGCUUUUUUUUUGACAGUGAGGUACGGUACAAAGAAGGAUGCAUUACUGAGAAGGCAAAGUGGCAGACAAGAAGAUCAAGAAAAGUUCACGUGGUUUCAUAUCCUCUCAGUUGAGACAACAUGAAUGUUUUCCUCCUCAUUUUAAGGAGGAAGCUGGGAUAGUGCAACUGCUUGGUCCUCCUGGAUCACGGAAUCGCUAAGGUUGUAAAAGAUCACUGAGAUCAUCCAGGCCAACCAUCAAAGGUAUUGCACUAAGCCAUGGACAGAGGAGACACUGUCCCAGCGCUCCUCAGUAAGGCAUCAGUCUGCCUUCUGCAAGCACUCUAAGAGGGCAUGAUUUCAUGAUCUGGGAGGCAAUUGUCAUUCUGUUUACAAGGGAAGCAUCUAGAAGUCUUACUCCAGAAUAUCCUCAGAGCUGGGAAUUACAAAAAAAUAAAAGCUACAUAUUCAAGGAAGGACACAGGGUAGGUAACUGUCAGGUAGUGGAGGACAGUGCUUCCAGCUGAGCACCACUUAGCUUCCUCCAUCCCCACUGACUGACAGCCACCUCAGAGCCUGAGCAUCACUUCAAGCAAAGAAAGCACAGCACACAGGAAAUCCGUAGUGAGAAGUUGCGUGACAGUGUUCUCAGUGUCUCGCUGUCACAUGCAGAGUGUAUGUGAACCAAAGCCUGUUCCUCUCCCACAGCAACAACUGAUCUGACCUCUACUUCAGACUGCAGCAACUCUGUGCAUCUUUAACAUCCGUCCUUUACUGAUGAAGCUUUUUUCUCUUCGCAAUGACAGCAGCGUUAAAGCCAACAGAGAACAUGUGCAAUUCAUCUUUUCACUUGGAAUUAAAUACUCACUUUAUAAGAAGGCAAGUCUAUCUCUCUUAAUAGAGGGAAAAAAAAAAAGACAGAAGAGACAGGAACUACGCUGUGUUUACAGACUGUAAUUUAAACCUGAUCCUGAAAAGUAAUGUUAAAAUGAUAAACAUGUUUGUGAUGCGUUAAUGUUUAAUGAUGAUGUUAUUGAACACAGGGAUUAGAUCCCUAUCAGAUGGGGUUUUGAAGAAGAUACCUGGACUACGGAAAGAUUUUCAAAGGCAUUUUUCUUGCUAAGAAAUAGCCAUCUCCUUGUACGUGACUCCUUCUUAGUAUCUUAAAAACACAUUAAGUUUUUCAUCCUCCAGUUCAGAUUUUAAAACUGCUGUUUAUCUAUUUUAAAGAUCUCUGUGAUGAAAAAAGAACUACAAUUAAUGGGGGGUUUAGGCCUCACUGUAUACAAAGAAUCUGUUCAUCUACCAAUCCAUAGAUAUAGUCACAUUUUAGCUUUAAGACGUGGUUAAAACUUAAAGGACUGAUUGAAAAAUAUUGGCAAGAACAAUUUUAUUUAACAAAAUAUCCAGUGGUUUGCCUAACAUCUAAUUCCACAGUGAGCUCACUGACGUUAUCAUUUUCCAAAAGACUCAGAGAGAGGUUUUUUAGGGUAAGAAAGAAGAGCUAAGCCUCAGAAUGUGGAUGAUCCAAUGCUUGUGCAAGAGAAAGUCACUCCAGGCAACACAUAACCUUACCUGACCUAUGAAAAGAUACUACCCACACAGCACAACUUCCAUUUACCAAAUCCAAAACUGCCCCAGAAUACGUAAGGCAGCCAUUGCUAUACCCUCAAGAAGAUGUCAGGCUUCUCGUAGUGGCUUCUCAUGCCCUGUUCUUCAAGGUCAGGCUGGAUGGGGCUCUGGGCACCUGACUGAGCUGUGUGUAUCUCUGUUUAUUGCUGGGGAGUUGAACUAGAUGACCAUUAAGGGUCCCUUCCAACUCAAACCAUUCUGUGAUUGCCUUUUGCCUCAGCUGGCACUGAGGAAACAGCACUUGCUGAAGGCCAGCAGAUGUGCAGGUACACCGUGGUGAUGAUGCACGUGUUCAGAGGGACUGCAAGAAGGUACCAACUUUAGAAGCAGAUCAUAAAAAAAAAAAAGUCAAAAAACAAAGUCCCAAGUUUACCUUUGGAAUUCAUUGGUUAUCAAAAGGGAAUUAAACAACGUAUGCGUCCGCACUCUGUUUACUAGGGUUCUGAGUUGUGUACACUCUCUGAAUGUUUUACAUAUAUAUGUAUGCAUGCACCUAAGGGAUUUUAAAAAAAAGAUGGGGUGACAACCUCAGCUUAUGUUUUCUUUUGAAGAACAAAUUUCUACAUUAAAACUAUAUCAUAGAAUUGUUUGAGUUGGAAGGGACUCUUUAAAGGUCAUCUGAUCCAAUUCCCCUGAACUAAACAGGGACAUCCAAUGCUCAGUCAGGGUGUUUACAGCCCCAUCUAGCCUGACUUUGAAUGUCUCCAAGAACAGACACCCACUACCCCUCUGGGAUGCUGAUCGUAGCAUAACAGACCUGCAAGCAGUCAGUGAAAAUGCACUUGUUAAAAACCAAGCCCUUUUUAUGUAUUGGCUCAGUUGUGAUCAGAAGUGUUAACAUCUUACCAAAGACCAAACAAUAUGUGUAUGGGACUUUAUCUGAUGGAGAGGUUACUUCAUAUUAUUUUAAUUCCAGUUUAUACCUUCUUGAAGGCAAUUGGUACUGAAAAAACAUGUCAUUUGUCUGGUGCAGAACAGAAAGGUUUGUAGUAUCUGUAUUCUAAGAUAUGUUAUUGCCUAUUCAAGCUAAGAGAACGAAAGGAAGAAAGGAAGAAAGGAAGAAAGGAAGAAAGGAAGAAAGGAAGAAAGGAAGAAAGAAAAAAAAAACAACCAACUUUUUAAAGGACAGUAACUUUCUAAUAAAUCCAACACAGAAUGCUACAGACAGCACUUAAGAGCACACUGACACAGUAUUAUCUGCAGAAUUAUGGACAACCCUAGGACCCUGCCAGGUUGAAGCUUAAUACCAGAAAUAGAAUAAAUUGAUUCAAGAAGUCAUCUUGAACACCACCGUUCAGCUUGAGUGCAGUUCAUUCUCUAAUGAUUAAAUGUUACUUCUUUAUAAGCUUCAUUCUGGCCAAAACUAUCUUACAUUAAUAUUUUCACAAACUACAUUCCAAAAUAAACUUUUUAUAUAUGAUACAAAUACCAAAGUCACUUCAGUUCACUUAUUGUGGUCAUGACCACUUUGGCAAGAUUAUGGGGAGGGAGGAGAAAUCCAAUAAAUUAGAUAUUUUCAUGAUUUAGUGUUUUCGAAGGUCAGAAAGCAGCACACAAUAUCUCCCUACUCUGAAUUACACAUCAGUUAAUAGAAAGAACAAAAUUUUCCAACAAUCCAGCCAAAACCUGGCAUCUGACAGAAGAACUUCAUCAAUGUGUCCUAUUCCUUGGGCUCCUCCCUCUCACCAUUACAUCCUGAAGAAAUAUAGUGCAAUAAUGGAC